rnacentral:rRNA from 1 species
CAAUAGCGUAUAUUAAAGUUGUUGCAGUUAAAAAGCUCGUAGUUGAACUUGUGGGGGCUCCUGUGGUCCGCUUUGCGGUUCUGUCGGGGGCCUCCAUCCUUGGGUGGAUCCUGUGUGGCAUUAGGUUGUCGUGCAGGGGAGACCCAUCAUUUACUGUGAAAAAAUUAGAGUGUUCAAAGCAGGCUUACGCCGUUGAAUAUAUUAGCAUGGGAUAAUAAGAUAGGAUCUUGGUACUAUUUUGUUGGUUUGUGCACCAAGAUAAUGAUUAACAGGGACAGUUGUGGGUAUUCGUAUUCCAUUGUCAGAGGUGAAAUUCUUGGAUUUCUGGAAGACGAACGAAUGCGAAAGCAUUUACCAAGGAUGUUUUCAUUAA